rnacentral:rRNA from 1 species
UACAGAGGUCCCAAGCGUUGUUCGGAUUCAUUGGGCGUAAAGGGUGCGUAGGCGGCGCGGUAAGUCGGGUGUGAAAUCUCGGAGCUUAACUCCGAAACUGCAUUCGAUACUGCCGUGCUUGAGGACUGGAGAGGAGACUGGAAUUUACGGUGUAGCGGUGAAAUGCGUAGAUAUCGUUUGGAACGCCAAUGGUGAAAACAGGCAACUGGGGAUGUGCUGACGCUGAGACACGAAAGCCAGGGGAGCAAACAGG